rnacentral:rRNA from 1 species
GACGAACGCUGGCGGCGUGCCUAAUACAUGCAAGUCGAACGCAGUUGCGAACGGGUGAGUAACGCGUAGGUAACUGCCUCAUAGCGGGGGAUAACUAUUGGAAACGAUAGCUAAUACCGCAUACUGUGAGAUGGACCUGCGUUGUAUUAGCUAGUUGGUGGGGUAAAGGCUCACCAAGGCGCCGAUACAUAGCCGACCUGAGAGGGUGAACGGCCACACUGGGACUGGGACACGGGCCCGACUGCCACGGGAGGCAGCAGUAGGGAAUCUUCGGAAAUGGACGGAAGUCUUACCGAGCAACGCCGGGGGAGUGAAGAAGGUUUUCGGAUCUUAAAGCUCUGUUGUUCGAGAAGCGUUAACUAACCAGAAAGGGCCGGCUAACUACGUGCCAGCCGCCGCGGUAAUUC